rnacentral:rRNA from 1 species
AUUGAACGCUGGCGGCAGGCCUAACACAUGCAAGUCGAGCGGAGCGGCGGACGGGUGAGUAAUGCCUAGGAAUCUGCAUGGUAGUGGGGGAUAACGUCCGGAAACGGGCGCUAAUACCGCAUACUAUCAGAUGAGACUAGGUAGGAGUGGCUAGUUGGUGGGGUAAAGGCCUACCAAGGCGACGAUCCGUAACUGGUCUGCGAGGAUGAUCAGUCACACUCGACAUGAGACACGGUCCAGCCUCAUACGGUAGGCAGCAUUGGGGAAUAUGGGACAAUGGGCGAAAGCCUGAUCCAGCCAUGCCGCGUGUGUGAAGAAGGUCUUCGGAUUGUAAAGCACUUUAAGUUGGGAGGCGUUACCAACAGAAUAAGCACCGGCUAACUUCGUGCCAGCAGCCGCGGUAAUUC